AUCUCAAUAAAAUUGCCUCUUACUCGUUACAUUUUAAAUAACGACAAUUCUUUAUUCACUUCAAAUAGUUUAUGAUUAACUUUUAACAUUAUCUCAACAAAAUUGUUUCUUACUCGUCACAUUUUAAAUAACGACAAUUCUUUAUUUACUUUAAAUAGUUUAUGAUUUUUUACUUGAUUUCAAUGAUUUCAUAAGUUAUAAUAUAAAAUAAGACUUAUUAUAAUAUCCAUUUGUAUUUCUGAUCAUCUAAAGCUGAUUUGUUUGCUCAUGUGGAUUGUUUUUGAAUUCUUCAAGAAGGUAAGACCUAUAG
rnacentral:lncRNA from 1 species